rnacentral:SRP_RNA from 1 species
UGAGGCUUCCCGGGUGGCGCCAUCUUGGCUAACUCCCCCAGGAUCGAAAGAUAGCAAGGGUAACUGAGCUCUGGCGGGUACCCGGGGAGUCCACAAU